GUCAAUGGGCGGGCCUUGGUGGGGUAGGUCUUCGGACCUGCCGGUACUGGUCAAGCAGCCGGUUUCCACACCCUGUCAAUGUGCCCGCUCACCCCA
rnacentral:antisense_RNA from 1 species